rnacentral:rRNA from 1 species
AUUGAACGCUGGCGGCAGGCCUAACACAUGCAAGUCGAACGAGUGGCGGACGGGUGAGUAAUGUCUGGGAAACUGCCCGAUGGAGGGGGAUAACUACUGGAAACGGUAGCUAAUACCGCAUACCAUCUGAUUUGCCCAGAUGGGAUUAGCUUGUUGGUGAGGUAACGGCUCACCUAGGCGCCGAUCCCUAGCUGGUCUGAGAGGAUGACCAGCCACACUGGAACGGAGAAACGGUCCAGACUCCUACGGGAGGAGGCAGUGGGGAAUAUUGCACAAGGGGCGAAAGCCUGAUGCAGCCAGGCCGCGGGUAUGAAGAAGGCCUUCGGGUGGUAAAGUACUUUCAGCGGGGAGGCGUUACCCGCAGAGGAAGCACCGGCUAACUCCGUGCCAGCAGCCGCGGUAAUAC